AAGAACUUAGGUUACAUCUUAAACCACGGGCCUUCAAAGCCCGAAACAGGGACCACAUAACCCUAGCUCUUG
rnacentral:tRNA from 1 species